CACGUAGGGCGCAAGCGUUGUCCGAAAUUAUUGGGCGUAAAGAGCUCGUAGGUGGUUUGUUACGUCUGCUGUGAAAACCUAGGGCUUAACCCUGGGCUUGCAGUGGAUACGGGCAGACUAGAGGUAGGUAGGGGAGAAUGGAAUUCCUGGUGUAGCGGUGAAUGCGCAGAUAUCAGGAGGAACACCGGUGGCGAAGGCGGGUCUCUGGGCCGAUACUGACGCUGAGGAGCGAAAGCAUGGGUAGCGAACAGG
rnacentral:rRNA from 1 species